rnacentral:rRNA from 1 species
UACGAAGGGUGCAAGCGUUACUCGGAAUUACUGGGCGUAAAGCGUGCGUAGGCGGUUUGUUAAGUCCGUUGUGAAAGCCCUGGGCUCAACCUGGGAAUUGCAGUGGAUACUGGCGAGCUAGAGUGCGGUAGAGGAUGGUGGAAUUCCCGGUGUAGCGGUGAAAUGCGUAGAUAUCAGGAGGAACACCGGUGGCGAAGGCACUCAUCUGGCCCAAUACUGACGCUGAGGCGCGAAAGCUAGGGGAGCAAACGGG